rnacentral:rRNA from 1 species
UACGUAGGGUGCAAGCGUUAAUCGGAAUUACUGGGCGUAAAGCGUGCGCAGGCGGUGAUGUAAGACAGAUGUGAAAUCCCAGGGCUCAACCUUGGAACUGCAUUUGUGACUGCAUCGCUGGAGUGCGGCAGAGGGGGAUGGAAUUCCGCGUGUAGCAGUGAAAUGCGUAGAUAUGCGGAGGAACACCGAUGGCGAAGGCAAUCCCCCUGGGCCUGCACUGACGCUCAUGCACGAAAGCGUGGGGAGCAAACAG